GAGGAGAGGCAGACAGAAGAUCCCUCCUCCUUCUGUAUGCUCACUUUGGUCCUGUUCUUCUUCCUCUUAUCCAGGGUUGGGAGCCAGAAAAAGCUGAUUCCACCAGCAGCUGCACAUGGACCCAGUCAGCACCAGUGGACCCCGGGGGUCCUCCUUCCACGGCCAAUCCAUAAACAGAUUGACAUGAACUUGGCUGAUGUGUCCUCUCCAAGGCCUCUGGGACCAGAGAUGGGGCGUCAUUCUCCUGACUUCUUUUCCAGAUGGUUGAAUCAAAGGCAGGAAAUGAAAUGAGCCUGAAAAUAUGCUGUUUGGAAGAGCCCCAGGGUUCUGGAACAUCAAUGAUGGCUGGGCAAGAAUUGUUCUCUCCCGGGGAGUCAGGCUCUGUGGGACAGCCAGCGAGAAGAACAGAUCAUGCGAUGAGGAUGAAAUUGCUGCUGGACUCAGAUGCAUCUCUGUGGCUUUGGUUUCCAUCGGCCAGCAGCGCCGCAGCUCUAUUCAAGCGGCACACUGUGCUAUCUGGUAGGAGUGUGCCAGAAGAAUCGGCACUAAUGAACUCUUUCUGAUGAGCCGACGGCUGCGUUUGGCAAGCACACGUUAACAUGUGGAAUCAGGCAGAAGAAGAGCUCCGAAAAUGAUAAAAGGGCAGGAGUUCUGUUUUGCUGUAAAAAACUGCCGAAGAUGCACGGAAUAACUGGUACCCAGGAUGCAUUUUCAACAGUAGGAGACAUUUUAUCAGACAGAAUCAGGAAGAAGACUCAAGAGAAUAUGGUCAACAGCCCCAGAGAAGGAAGCAUCGAGAAUAGAAGAGCAUUGCCUCCUCAACCGUGGCCAGUCUGCCCACUUCACUGGGAGGGCUCUCCCUCAGAACCCCCAGUGGAGAACCGGUGCUUCCGGGUCCUGCCAGGAAAGCAACUCGCUCAGACGACUCUUUCCCACUUUCAGUCAUCAGCAGAAGCUAUCUUU